rnacentral:rRNA from 1 species
CGAGGGAGCGAGCGUUAAUCGGAAUUACUGGGCGUAAAGCGCGCGUAGGCGGCUUUGUAAGUCGGAUGUGAAAGCCCUGGGCUCAACCUGGGAAUUGCAUUCGAUACUGCAGAGCUAGAGUAUGGUAGAGGGAAGUGGAAUUUCCGGUGUAGCGGUGAAAUGCGUAGAUAUCGGAAGGAACACCGGUGGCGAAGGCGACUUCCUGGGCCAAUACUGACGCUGAGGUGCGAAAGCGUGGGGAGCAAACAGGAUUAGAUACCCGAGUAGUCC